UACCAAACUGGUUAGCCUCAGGCGGGGUCACGCCCCGGGUGCGUAAAAGCCCCGGAACCAGGCGCCCGCCGGAGGAACCAACCAAACUCUUUCUGUAGUCCCCUCGCGGACGUAUUUCUUACAGCUCUGAGCAAAAAUUCAAAAUGAAUCAAAACUUUCAACAACGGAUCUCUUGGUUCUGGCAUCGAUGAAGAACGCAGCGAAAUGCGAUAAGUAAUGUGAAUUGCAGAAUUCAGUGAAUCAUCGAAUCUUUGAACGCACAUUGCGCCCGCCAGUAUUCUGGCGGGCAUGCCUGUCCGAGCGUCAUUUCAACCCUCGAACCCCUCCGGGGGAUCGGCGUUGGGGAUCGGGACCCCUCACCGGGUGCCGGCCCUGAAAUACAGUGGCGGUCUCGCCGCAGCCUCUCCUGCGCAGUAGUUUGCACAACUCGCACCGGGAGCGCGGCGCGUCCACGUCCGUAAAACACCCAACUUCUGAAAUGUUGACCUCGGAUCAGGUAGGAAUACCCGCUGAACUUAAGCAUAUCA
rnacentral:rRNA from 1 species